AGUGAACGCUGGCGGUAUGCCUAACACAUGCAAGUCGAACGGCAGCACAGUAAGCGCUUGCUCUUACGGGUGGCGAGUGGCGGACGGGUGAGGAAUACAUCGGAAUCUUCUUUUUCGUGGGGGAUAACGUAGGGACACUUACGCUACUACCUCAUACGACCUACGGCUGAAAUCAGUGGAUCUUCGCACCUUGCCUGUUUGAAUGAGCCGAUGUCGCAUUAGCUAGUUGGCGGGGUAAAGGCCCACCAAGGCGACGAUCCGUAGCUGGUCUGAGAGGAUGAUCAGCCACACUGGAACUGAGACACGGUCCAGACUCCUACGGGAGGCAGCAGUGGGGAAUAUUCGACAAUGGGCGAAAGCCUGAUGGAGCCAUGCCGCGUGAGUGAAGAAGGUCUUCGGGUCGUAAAGCCCUUUUAUUAGGAAAGAAAAAAUGUAGGUUAAUCCACGGAUGUUCUGACGGUACCUAAAGAGUAAGCCACGGCUAACUACGUG
rnacentral:rRNA from 1 species